GACGAACGCUGGCGGCGUGCUUAACACAUGCAAGUCGAACGGUGAAGCGCCUUCCUUUUUGGUGGGUGUGGAUGAGUGGCGAACUGGUGAGUAACACGUGAGUAACCUGCCCCCUUCUUCUGGAUAACCGCAUGAAAGUGUGGCUAAUACGGGAUAUUCUGGGUCUGUCGCAUGAUGGGUCUGGGAAAGAUAUUGUUUCGGUGGGGGAUGGGCCCGCGGCCCAUCAGCUUGUUGGUGGGGUGAUGGCUUACCAAGGCGGCGAUGGGGAGCCGGCCUGAGAGGGUGGUGGACCGCCACACUGGUGAGGAGGCACGGCCCAGACUCCGACGGGAGGCAGCAGGGAGGAAUAUUGCACGAUGGGCGCAAGGCUGAUGCAGCGACGCCGCAGGAGGGAUGGAGUCCUGCGGGUUGUGAACCUCUUUCGCCAGUGAAGCAGGCCUGCCUCGUUUGUGGGUGUGUUGACGGUAGCUGGAUAAGAAGCGCCGGCUAACUACGUG
rnacentral:rRNA from 1 species